rnacentral:rRNA from 1 species
UACGUAGGGUGCAAGCGUUAAUCGGAAUUACUGGGCGUAAAGCGUGCGCAGGCGGUUUUGUAAGUCAGAUGUGAAAUCCCCGGGCUUAACCUGGGAACUGCGUUUGAAACUACAAGGCUAGAGUGUGGCAGAGGGGGGUGGAAUUCCACGUGUAGCAGUGAAAUGCGUAGAGAUGUGAAGGAACACCGAUGGCGAAGGCAGCCCCCUGGGUUAACACUGACGCUCAGGCACGAAAGCGUGGGGAGCAAACAGG